UUUUUAAUAUAUUUUUUCUGCGCGCGAGGAACAUGGCGCACGUGUAUCCGUUAUUAGGCAGUGCUGACAAAGAAGGUAGGGUCGGGUUUAUAGUGGAGCUGUGAGGGCGAGCAUAAGGAACGAAGUUGGGGAAACAUGUCGGAUGCGAUCAUACCAGCACUAAAGCACCGGAUCCCAUCAGAACUCCGAAGUUAAGCGUGCUUGGGCGAGAGUAAUACUAGGAUGGGUGACCUCCUGGGAAGUCCUCAUGUUGCAUUCCC
rnacentral:rRNA from 1 species